CAAAUUAAAGGCAAAACCCUUGACAAAUGCGGAGGAAAAGAAAAUGCCGUGGCCAAAGAGGCGUAAGCAGAAAAAACGGAGAGCCCGACAGAAAAACCCAAAAACCUCAUCAUCCCGCUCCUCACCACCACAGCUGUCGCCGCCGUGGGUGGAGCUUCCGCUGGAAAUCACGGCAGAUAUUUUGCAGCGGGUGGGAGUGAUAGAUAUACUGAACAAUGCGCAGAGAGUUUGUAGUACGUGGUGGAAGGUGUGCCAUGACCCCGUUAUGUGGCGAGUCAUUGACAUGAUAAAUGAUGUAAAUAGCGACUUGCGCUAUGACUUGGAUAAGAUUGAGAUGUGUAAGGUCGCUGUGGAUCGUAGCCAAGGCCAGUUAGUCAAAAUUAACAUCGAGAAUAUUGGCGACAUCGACUUGUUCAACCACAUUGCUGAGAGAUCAAGUCAGCUCAGACAUCUCAGACUUGUCAGGUGUCAUUGUAUCAUAUUUGGAUGUUUGGCUGCAGCUGCUAAGAACUUCCCUCUGUUGGAGGAGUUGCAUCUAUACUUUUCUGUUAUUAGUUACAAUGAUAUGGAAGUUAUUGGUCAUUCUUGCCCUAUGCUCAAGUCAUUUACAUCGAAUGCCUAUGGAUUUCUAGGAUUUAGUCCUCCGCGUUAUCUAUGUGAUGAUCAAGCUCUAGCUGUUGCCAGAAGUAUGCCUGAACUGCGGCACCUGAUCCUCUUUGGAAAUAUCUUGACAAAUGAAGGCCUGCAGGCCAUUCUUGAUGGCUGUCCACACCUUGAAUCGCUGGACGUACGCCACUGUUAUAAUCUCAGUCUUGAAGGGGAUUUAGGAAGAAGAUGUAAACAACAGAUUGUCGAUCUAAAGCUCCCUCAUGAUUCCACUUAUGGUUAUCAAUUCGAUGCUGACAUAUUUGAUCAUUCAUCUCGUGGUGCUGACUACUCAGAUCAAAGUAGCGAUUAUUCUGUAUCUGAUGAUGACGUUCAUUGGUUAUCUGAUACCAGCGUUGGCCAUCGGGACCAUGAUGAUCAUAAUGACUACUACGACUAAAUCCAUUUAGCAGCAAGUAUCCCGACGAAAAUGUUGUCUUUUACGAAGGUCAUAUUCAAACCGAAAAUCACUGAUGGUAAGAACCAAUGAUUUGAAUACCAGCAUUAUUUCAUCCAUCUUUUGUUUUGUUCUGUUCAACCACAAGAUAUAGAAAGGGAAGGGUUAAGACAAAAAAGUUAUUUGAUGCAGAACAGGCGCGGUAUUUUGCAGGUUUUAGGUUGCUUUUGCAUUAUCAUGACAUCUUUUUGCAACAGUAACAGGUAAGGAAAAAUGAAAAGACUUGGUAUUGCAAAUUGCCAUGGUAUAAUAUGCGAAGGCUUGGUUAAAGUAGUUCAAAAGCUCCAAUUGUUAAAAAAGGUUAGUCUGAGACAUACACACACACAACUAUCACAACAGAAAGCAUUGAAUUGAAGCUCUUGGCCACAGUUGAAGUCUUUUUGAAUUGAAUGCUCCUUAAUUUAUGAAGUUGAUGAAAGAAAUAAAGUAGCUCUAGCUAUUGCUGAAAACCUAUCAGUCUUGCACCACUUUACAGUAUGACAAAUGAAGGCGUAGCAGAAUUUCUUGUCAGAUUAAAGAUGUGAAGCUCUAAAAAGUUUAAUAUUAUUUGAGGCUUAAGGGAUUGUUUGGUACAAUGCUGAGAUAUCUCAUGGAAUUAGUUAUCCCACCUUCUACAUGUGAUAGUUAAUUCCACCAUUUUAGUGUAAAAGUUAUUUCGGAGAUUAGCUAAUAUUUCAAACCAAACAUAGGAUAAAGUUAAUCCCGAACUUUAUCUCACAAUUAUUAUCCUUAUCUCAUGUACCAAAUGACCCUAAGUAAUUGAUGAAGUUCUCAUCUCUAA